CAGCCAUGCCGCGUGUAUGAAGAAGGCCUUCGGGUUGUAAAGUACUUUCAGCAGUGAGGAAGGUGGGUAUGUUAAUAGCAUAUUCAUUUGACGUUAGCUGCAGAAGAAGCACCGGCUAACUCCGUGCCAGCAGCCGCGGUAAUACGGAGGGUGCGAGCGUUAAUCGGAAUUACUGGGCGUAAAGCGCAUGCAGGUGGUUUGUUAAGUCAGAUGUGAAAGCCCGGGGCUCAACCUCGGAAUUGCAUUUGAAACUGGCAAACUAGAGUACUGUAGAGGGGGUAGGAAUUUCAGGUGUAGCGGUGAAAUGCGUAGAGAUCUGAAGGAAUACCGGUGGCGAAGGCGGCCCCCUGGACAGAUACUGACACUCAGAUGCGAAAGCGUGGGGAGCAAACAGGAUUAGAUACCCUGGUAG
rnacentral:rRNA from 1 species